UUUCUGUGAUGAUAAUUCUGUCCAGUUCUGCUACUGACUGCCAGCGAUGACAUCUGUGACUCUGAGGAAG
ensembl:snoRNA small nucleolar RNA SNORD38